GCUUACACUGUUCGCAGGAUUGUGGACUCCCGUCGGCGGGGUCGGGGGUGGCAGUAUCUUGUUGAUUGGGAGGGCUAUGGCCCAGAGGAGCGCCGCUGGGUCCCUGGUUCGUUCAUUUUGGAUUUGGAUUUGAUCUCUGAUUAUCGCUCUGCCAGGUCGUCUCGGCCGCCAGGUGGCGACCGUUAGGGGGGGGUACUGUCAGGAGUUGGGGGUUUUUGUUUUGCCUUUUUUGUUUUUCCGUUCCUAUGGCUUGCCAUCACCACCAGAUGGCACUGUGGAGGUUAGGAUAGGAGGACUGAAGGGCUGACGUCACCGUCACACCGGUUCCCAAUCCACUCGUCAGCGGGACUUCAAGAGACGGCGACUGCCAGCAUACCAACGCUUGAGUGUUAGCCAGUAAUGCUGUUCCUGCAACGUCAAGUCUGGCUGAAGUCCCGAGUUUCCCUUGCGACGCCGUCAGGAUCCUAUUACCUGUCCGCCCUCCACCGCAGCACAACCUCCACCUCCAGCGCCUCCACACCUGGCCACGCCGUUGUUUUUUCUCCUCCCCGAGUAAGCAUACAACUUUAGAGCUCUGGAAAAUCCCCACGGUCCCUGAACUCACCUCCCGAUCUGUUGUUGUUACCAGAAGUCCUGACUUACCUGUCUGUCGCCGUCCCUUCGAUGACUGAGAGCCUACCCUGGAAAUCUUUUGUAAAUAAAUCACUUUAACUGAUC